rnacentral:rRNA from 1 species
UGAAUACGAGACGCUAAGGCGUCGAAGUAGUGUAUAUCAGACUUCCAAGAAAAGCUUGCACUGUCAUAGAUAAAAAAUGCCUGUACCAUAACCGACACAGGUGGGUAGGUAGAGUAUACUAAGGGGCGCGAGAUAACUCUCUCUAAGGAACUCGGCAAAAUAACUCCGUAACUUCGGGAGAAGGAGUGCCUUAUUUAUAAGGUUGCAAUAACAAGAUCCAAGCAACUGUUUAUCAAAAACACAGGUCUCCGCUAAGUCGUAAGACGAUGUAUGGGGGCUGACGCCUGCCCAGUGCCAGAAGGUUAAAGAAGUUGGUUAGCAAUUGCGAAGCUGAUAACUGAAGCCCUGGUGAACGGCGGCCGUAACGAUAACGGUCCUAAGGUAGCGAAUUCCUUGUCGGGUAAGUUCCGACCCGCACGAAAGGCGUAAUGAUUUGGAUACUGUCUCGGAGAGGGGCUCGGUGAAAUAGACUUGUCUGUGAAGAUGCGGACUACCUGCACCAGGACAGAAAGACCCUAUGAAGCUUUACUGUAACUUGAAAUUGAAAUUGGACUUUAUUCGCGCAGCAUAGGUGGGAGGCGUUGAUUAUAAUCUUGCGGGAUUAUUGGAGCCAUCAGUGAGAUACCACUCUUGUAAUGUUAGAUUUCUAACUUUGAAUCAUUAUCUGGUCAAAGAACAGUUUCAGGCGGGCAGUUUGACUGGGGCGGUCGCCUCCUAAAUGGUAACGGAGGCGUACAAAGGUUUCCUCUGAACGGUUAGAAAUCGUAUCUAGAGUGUAAAGGCAUAAGGAAGCUUGACUGUGAGACCUACAAGUCGAGCAGGGACGAAAGUCGGUCUUAGUGAUCUGACGGUACUGAGUGGAAAGGCCGUCACUCAACGGAUAAAAGUUACUCUAGGAUAACAGGCUGAUCUCCCCCAAGAGUUCACAUCGACGGGGAGGUUUGGCACCUCGAUGUCGGCUCAUCGCAUCCUGGGGCGGUAGUACGUCCCAAGGGUUGGGCUGUUCGCCCAUGAAAGCGGUACGCGAGCUGGGUUCAGAACGUCGUGAGACAGUUCGGUCCAUAUCCGGUGUAGGCGUUAGAAUAUUGAGAGGAGCCUUCUUUAGUACGAGAGGACCGAGAAGGACAUACCUCUGGUGUACCAGUUAUCGUGCCAACGGUAAACGCUGGGUAGCUAUGUAUGGAGUGGAUAACCGCUGAAAGCAUCUAAGUGGGAAGCCCACCUCAAGAUAAG